CCGUUCAAUUUGCCCAAAUCUCCGACCUCUGCCGCUCAGAACAUUCCGGUGAAGGUUUGUUUCGUACUUCAUUCAGCCUGGAUGUUGAUGUUGCAUGAUGAAGACUUGAAAGGAUUACUAAUUCAAAGAACACAGUCAUAGGUUGUGGACUGUUUGGUACAGUUUUUCAUGAUUGAUCUCUGUCGAGUUGUUGGGUUGUGCGAGUUGUUUGAAGGUAAAUAUUUUCCUUUCCUGUGGUGGAUUUUGGAUGUGGGAUUGGUUUACAAAUGGAAAUUUCAGGUUUUACCAUGUCAUUUUAGUAUCUUUAUAUUCUGCAAAGUUUGUUACUAUCAAGUGU